UCCCGAAAUUACUAGGUAAGUAAAUUAAAAAUUUUUACGUUGUAUAGUAUAUAUAUUAUUUAUUUACAGGAAUGAAAAAUUUUCAUUAGUAAUGAUAACUGGAUUUUUAGUAAAAGUAUUUAGUACUUAAAUCAAUUAAAAAGUAUUUAGAUUUUUUAGAAAAAGAAUUAUAAGUUGAUUAUUUAUUAUAUAAAAUAAUUUUUUAAUAAUUAAUGUAAAUUAAAAUAAUUUUUUAUUUAUAUCUUUUUUUUAUUAAAAAAUAUAAUCAUAUUAUAAUUUGUAUUUUUUUUGUUAAAAUUAGUAGAAAAGUAAAAUUUUUUUAGGAAUUCGGCAAAAUUAUUUCAACUGUUUAUCAAAAACAUAGUUUAAGGAAAUAAUCUUAAAUGUAUUCUGCCCAAUGAUUUUUUUUUAAUGGCCGCAGUACCUUGACUGUGCUAAGGUAGCAUAAUCAAUUGGCUUCUAAUUAAAGUCUGGAAUGAAAGGAAAAAUGAAGUAAUUCUGUCUUAAAAAAUUUUUUUUAAAUUUAUUUAAAUGAUGAAAAUAUCAUUUUUUAGAAAAAAGACGAGAAGACCCUUAGAGUUUUUAUUAUUUUUUUUGUUGGGGCGACAAGUAAACAAUUUGAACUUUACUAAUUUUUUUUAAAUCGAUUUUAAUAAUAAGAUUAAUUAAACUACCUUAGGGAUAACAGCAUUAUAUUAUAUAUGAUUGUGACCUCGAUGUUGGACUAGGAACUUUAUGGCUAGCCGUCAUAAAAGAUUUGUUCUGUUCGAACAAUUUUAUCCUACAUGAUCUGAGUUCAGACCGGCGUAAGCCAGGUCAGUUUCUAUCUUUUAUUUUAAUGUUUUUAGUACGAAAGGAUCGGAAUAUUUUUUUUAACUUGGCAGAUAAAUGCAAUUAAUUUAGAAUUAAUU
rnacentral:rRNA from 1 species